UAAAUGUAGAUAAUCUGACAUAUUUUUCCUUAUGUAUAUGGGAAAGUAUCACUACAGUCAAUAAGUGUUCAUAACUAUUAGUUCUCAAAGUUUACUUAAGACUCUCAUAAUCCAUCACCCUUCUGUUGGCAACUAAUAAGCUGGUUGGCCUCUAUGGCUGAAUUUAGUUGCAUUUUCUUUUGUAAUUUUUUUGAGAUUAUAAUAUAAUUACAUCAUUUCCCCGUUUUCUUUCUCCCCUCUAAGCCCUUGAAUACCCCCCACCUUUCUCUCCUUCAAAUUCAUAACUUCUUUUUCUUUAAUUGUAGUUACAUACCGUGUGUGUGUGUGUGUGUGUGUGUGUGUGUGUGUUCCUAAAUAGAACCUGCUCAGUCUGUGUAAUAUUGACUUGUAUGUUGUGUUUCCAGAGUCAUUAUAGUAUCAUACAGAAUAGUUCACUGCCCUGAAAACUCUAUGAUGCUAUGGUUAACUUGUUUGUUUGUUUGUUUGUUUUUGAGACAGGGUCUCACUAUGCACUCCUGCUGGCCUGAAGCUAGCUGUGUAGAUCCAGGCUGGCCUCAAACUCACAGAGAUCUGCCUGCUUCAGUCUCCCUAGUGCUGGGAUGAAAGGGUAUGCCAACAUGCUCAGCCUGUGCUUAGCUUUUAAAGAAACUUCUUCCCUGUUUUGUGAAGUGGCUGUGUGUUUAACAUUCCUGCCAAUGGUGCGGGAGCCCAGCUCCUCUGCACUCCUUUUUAUUUGCUUGCUUGCUUUUUGAGGUUCUGGGGAUCAGCCCCAGGCCUUUUGUGUGUUUCAUAAGUGCUCUGCCACUGAGCCAUACUGCUAGCCCUCCUCUAUAUUAUUUAACAACAUUUGGGAUAGCGAGACCUUUUAAUGUUAGUUGUGUGAUGUGAUCUCAUUGCAGUCUGAUUUUUUCUUAUUUGCCACCGGAAUAUCUUUGGUGAAGUGUCUGAAGUACAUGGUAAAAAGGGUUUUGUUAAAAAUCCUUGGCCCGUUUUUUACCUACAAGCCCUUUCUCAAGUAUUUGCUGCAUAAAGAUUUUCUCCCAGAUUGUCUGUUACCUUCAUUCUGUCAGCAGUGUCUUUUUUUUUUCCUUUCUCUUGUUUGUUGAUUUAGUAUCUAUGCAGCCCAAGCUGGUCAGACUAGAACUUCCAUCUCAGCCUCCCAGAUGUGGGAUGUACUACCAUGCAUGGCUAGUUUUAGAUUUGAUGGCUUGUUUUAUAAUUUCUUACAUACAUACAUACAUACACACACACACACACACACACACACACACACACACACAUACACACACACAUAUAUGUGUAAGAUAGGGCAUGGGUGUGCCACCGUGCAUGUGUGGAGGUCUGAGGACAACAUUCUUUCCACCCUGUGAGUCCUGGGGAAGGAGUGUCAGCAGGGGACUCCUUUUCCAGCUAAGCCAUCCUGUUGUCCUCCUCCCUCCCUUUCUGGACGGUGGUAAGGGAUUGAAUCCGAGACUUCACACAUGCUAGGCAAGCCCUGUACUUUGAGAUAGGCCCCAGCCCUGCUUCUCUGUUCUUUUCUUAAAAUUGACAUGGCUUAAAAACAACAACAACAACAACAAAAAAAAACAAAACAAAACAAAACAAAACAAAAAAACCCCACCAAACACUGUUUUGAUUCCUUUAGCUUUUUAAUAAAUUUGGAAGUCAGGCAGUGUUGUCCUUCAAGGCUGUUGUGGCUACUCUGUAAAUUCCUUGAAUGACCAUGUAAAUGUUAAAACUAGCUUGUCAGUUUUUGUACAGAAACCCACCAGAAGCCUGGGUAUGGUGUCACAGACCUCUAAGCCCAACACUUGGAAGGCAGAGACAGAAGAAUUGCAAGUUCAAAUGUGAAGUCAGCCUGCACCACACAUGGAGGCCUUGCUUUAACACAAAAAUAGCAAACCAACCAACUGAAAAAAAUCUUCCCUGAGACGUGGGGCCUCCGGUCACGGUCAGCUGACCUUGAUGCUUUGAGCAAUGUGGCACAUCACGUGGCUGUUUCAGGGCAUGCAGUCUCAACUUUGGCCCGUCACAGCCUGCCUUCGAAUGAUGCUACACUUGGUAUGUUAUAACCUCAGAGAUGCAGCCUGCCUUCGAAUGACGCUACACUUGGUAUGUUAUAACCUCAGAGAUGCAGCCUGCCUUCGAAUGACGUUACACUUGGACCACCAUAAGCAAGUGCAAUUAAAUAGUGAUGCAUUAUCUAGCAGAGGCUGCUGGGUACAUUUCCUUCUCAGAAGAAGCAUGAAGACAUCUGUCUGUAACUAAAGCACUAUGGCACCCCCACUGACCUCCCUCAUAUCGGGUCCUCAUGUAUAAGAGAAAUGAGCACACAAAGACAUCCUGGUUAUAGAUUGGUAAAACCAGAGCCUCUGGCUUGAGACUUAACUCGAAGUCUUCUACGGUCAUGAUGCACUUUUGUGUAUUGGGCCUUGUGCUCAGUGAAAGGGUUUUUGAAAAGGUUGUCCCUUUCUGGUGGAAAGACUUCACGGUGGUGUGAUCCUGCUUCCCUCGUCCCACUUCCACAGCCAGCUGUUCCUGUUGGAAUUGGCCACAAAGGAGUAUUUACACCACGGGAACUGGGAUGUGCUACAAAACGGCAUCUUUUGUUCCUUGGUAGAGACCCUUAAACACAUUGCCAAUCUUUACCAUGAGAGACAUUUUCCCACGGCCCGCAAAGCCCGACCAUUGAUCCUUCUAGUGGCUUGUUCUACUCAAUUAAACAAGGCUUGUACCGGACUCACCAAUUUCACUUCAGAUAAGGACUUGGGACCACCUCACACAAUCCCUAGAGGCCGAAUCCUGAGCUCCAAUUCCACCCAAUCCAAGCAGCAUCCUCCCUUCGGCAGAGGAAAGGGUACCAGGAUUCACCUUGGACUUUUUAAUCUAACUGGAAUUUUUUUUUUUUUUUUUUUUUUUUUUAACUACAAGCUCCACGGGAGGAGCCUCUAUGCCUAAUUAAAGACUCUGUCUCUUUCUGGACAGAGAAAAAGAGAACUCAUUUGCUCGCUGACUGUUACUGCCCUGCAGGGGUCAAUCUAGACACUGCAGUCACACAAUCACGCAGUGAGAGCGCAGGAGAGAGGCACACACAAGUACGUGACAGCACGUGUCGGGAGGGGCUCUGCGUGACCGUGAAUGGGCCCGUUGACUCGUUGUAUGGGACUAUGACAGAAUGCUUGAAAGUGAGUAUUUUGUAAAGACAAGAAGUUUGCUCAAAGCUCAGAUUUGGAGGUUGGGAUCCAAGAGCACCCAACGUCACCUGCUUGGCUCUAGGGAGGCCUGAACUCCGUUUGCUGGUUUUGUUUUGUUUCUUAUUGUUGUUUUGGGUUCGCUUCCUUAAGUAAUGGCUUUCUUUUAAGAAAACGGGUUAAGGUCCCAGGAAACUAUGCUAACCUCUGCAGAGGGUGACACCCUCAGUAGCCCGACCACCUCUUGUGUGGCAGUUUCUCCCAGGGUGGAUGUGGUCAUCGCCAUCUUGAAUUAGCACAACUCUGACUGCUCACAGGAGGUCCCCCUAUGAGAUGGGACCUAACAUUCCCAGGUGGAAGGUAGGAAAGGCUCCGAGGGGAGUGAGGUUCACAAGGUGCGUAGGAUCUCUCCCCUCACUGAGGAUGCAGGAGUAGUUAACUGCAGGGGGGGUGGUCUUCUUCGGUGGUGUACCUGCUUGUGAGUCAUUCAUGUGAGUAAUCCCAACAAACUCAUUGGCUCACCAAGCUGGACCUGGUGAUGAUUUCUUUGAUCUGUCAUUGCCAUAUCCGGGGUGACUAGAAAUAGAUUCAUCAGGAAGAGUCAUAUAACAA